CGUCCAUAGCGACGGCACGGUUCGGCACCUCGAUGUCGGCUCAUCUUAUCCUGGGGCUGGAGCAGGUCCCAAGGGUUUGGCUGUUCGCCAAUUAAAAAGAUACGCGAGCUGGGUUUAGACCGUUCAGAUCCUGAUUUAGUUAUCGGUAUCUGAACCAAUCUAAACCCGAGGUUAAGACAUCACUCACGGCGGCACAGGAUAGCAAUAUCCUGUUGAGAAGUUGACUAUAUCGGUAAAAUCUUAAACCAACGUGUGUUAGGAUAAUACCGAGGGAAGUCACAUUAUGUCGCUCAAUUCGUCGCAAUUCAAAGCAUAUAUUGCUGGGUUCCUAGAUGGAGAUGGAAGUAUCUAUGUGCGAGCAAAACUAAAUAGUUCAUACAAAUAUGGCUAUCAGGUCGCUCCAACAGUAGCAUUCUUUCAAUCAUCUUCUUGUGAAUCAUUCCCAACUCUUUGCAAAAAGAUAGGUUAUGGAAGGUUGCGUCUUCGUAAGGAUGGUAUUUAUGAAUUUACUAUCUCAAAACAAGAUGAAAUCAUUGACUUCAUUACAAAAGUCAGUCCGUACAUUGAGUUGAAACAGCAACAGGCAAAACUUAUUCUUGAAAUUUUGAAACUCAAAAAAGAGGUACAGAAUGAGCAGGAUUUUAAGCAGCUUUUGAAUCGAAUUGAUACGUUUCGAGACCUUAAUUAUUCGAAAAAGAGAAAGCGAAGAAUGUGAACCUGUAGAGACUAUACGUCAACCACACCUAAGGCAUUAGGGUGAAGAUAUAGUCCAAAUUUAUACCCAUGAAAUAGCGUGAGACAGGUUGGUCUCCUAUCUACUGCAGGCGUCGAAACUUGAUGAGAUUUGUCCGUAGUACGAGAGGACCCGGAUGAACUGACCUCUGGUCUAUCGGCUGUCACGCCAGUGGCACUGCCGAGUAGCUAUGUCGGGAAUGGAUAACCGCUGAAAGCAUCUAAGCGGGAAGCCAACUCAGAGAUUAGGUUUCAUUAAGUCUCCUAGGAGAUGACUAGGUUGAUAGGCACCAGGUGGACGCGUAGUAAUACGUGGAGCCGAGGUGUACUAAUCAGACGUACUACAUUCCUGU
rnacentral:rRNA from 1 species